rnacentral:rRNA from 1 species
GACGAACGCUGGCGGCGUGCCUAAUACAUGCAAGUAGAACGCUGAAGGAAAGAGCUUGCUCUUUCCGGAUGAGUUGCGAACGGGUGAGUAACGCGUAGGUAACCUGCCUGGUAGCGGGGGAUAACUAUUGGAAACGAUAGCUAAUACCGCAUAAAAUUGAUUAUUGCAUGAUAGUCAAUUAAAAGGUGCAACUGCACCACUACCAGAUGGACCUGCGUUGUAUUAGCUAGUUGGUGGGGUAACGGCUCACCAAGGCGACGAUACAUAGCCGACCUGAGAGGGUGAUCGGCCACACUGGGACUGAGACACGGCCCAGACUCCUACGGGAGGCAGCAGUAGGGAAUCUUCGGCAAUGGACGAAAGUCUGACCGAGCAACGCCGCGUGAGUGAAGAAGGUUUUCGGAUCGUAAAGCUCUGUUGUAAGAG